rnacentral:rRNA from 1 species
AUGGGCGCAAGCCUGAUGCAGCCAUGCCGCGUGURUGAAGAAGGCCUUCGGGUUGUAAAGYACUUUCAGUCGUGAGGAAGGURGUGUMGUUAAUAGCKGCRUURUUUGACGUUAGCGACAGAAGAAGCACCGGCUAACUCCGUGCCAGCAGCCGCGGUAAUACGGAGGGUGCGAGCGUUAAUCGGAAUUACUGGGCGUAAAGCGCAUGCAGGUGGUUUGUUAAGUCAGAUGUGAAAGCCCGGGGCUCAACCUCGGAAUAGCAUUUGAAACUGGCAGACUAGAGUACUGUAGAGGGGGGUAGAAUUUCAGGUGUAGCGGUGAAAUGCGUAGAGAUCUGAAGGAAUACCGGUGGCGAAGGCGGCCCCCUGGACAGAUACUGACACUCAGAUGCGAAAGCGUGGGGAGCAAACAGGAUUAGAUACCCUGGUAGUCCACGCCGUAAACGAUGUCUACUUGGAGGUUGUGGCCUUGAGCCGUGGCUUUCGGAGCUAACGCGUUAAGUAGACCGCCUGGG